GAUGAACGCUGGCGGCGUGCCUAAUACAUGCAAGUCGAGCGAAUGGAUUAAGAGCUUGCUCUUAUGAAGUUAGCGGCGGACGGGUGAGUAACGCAUGGGUAACCUGCCCAUAAGACUGGGAUAACUCCGGGAAACCGGGGCUAAUACCGGAUAACAUUUUGAACCGCAUGGUUCGAAAUUGAAAGGCGGCUUCGGCUGUCACUUAUGGAAGGACCCGCGUCGCAUUAGCUAGUUGGUGAGGUAACGGCUCACAAAGGCAACGAUGCGUAGCCGACCUGAGAGGGUGAGCGGCCACACUGGGACUGAGACACGGCCCAGACUCCGACGGGAGGCAGCAGUAGGGAAUCUUCCGCAAUGGACGAAAGUCUGACGGAGCAACGCCGCGUGAGUGAUGAAGGCUUUCGGGUCGUAAAACUCUGUUGUUAGGGAAGAACAAGUGCUAGUUGAAUAAGCUGGCACCUUGACGGUACCUAACCAGAAAGCCACGGCUAACUACGUGCCAGCCGCCGCGGUAA
rnacentral:rRNA from 1 species